rnacentral:misc_RNA from 1 species
GAUGAAGAACGCAGCGAAAUGCGAUAAGUAAUGUGAAUUGCAGAAUUCAGUGAAUCAUCGAAUCUUUGAACGCACAUUGCGCUCCCUGGUAUUCCGGGGAGCAUGCCUGUCCGAGCGUCAUUGCUGCCCUCAAGCACGGCUUGUGUGUUGGGCCUCCGUCCUCCUCCCGGGGGACGGGCCCGAAAGGCAGCGGCGGCACCGCGUCCGGUCCUCGAGCGUAUGGGGCUUCGUCACCCGCUCUUGUAGGCCCGGCCGGCGCUUGCCGACACAUCAAUCUUUUUUCCAGGUUGACCUCGGAUCAGGUAGGGAUACCCGCUGAACUUAAGCAUAUCAAUAAGCGGAGGA